GGCUCAGGAUGAACGCUAGCUACAGGCUUAACACAUGCAAGUCGAGGGGAAACGAUAGAGAAAGCUUGCUUUUCUAGGCGUCGACCGGCGCACGGGUGAGUAACGCGUAUCCAACCUGCCCAUCACUUGGGGAUAACCUUGCGAAUGUAAGACUAAUACCCAAUGACGUCUCUAGAAGACAUCUGAAAGAGAUUAAAGAUUUAUCGGUGAUGGAUGGGGAUGCGUCUGAUUAGCUUGUUGGCGGGGUAACGGCCCACCAAGGCGACGAUCAGUAGGGGUUCUGAGAGGAAGGUCCCCCACAUUGGAACUGAGACACGGUCCAAACUCCUACGGGAGGCAGCAGUGAGGAAUAUUGGUCAAUGGACGAGAGUCUGAACCAGCCAAGUAGCGUGCAGGAUGACGGCCCUAUGGGUUGUAAACUGCUUUUAUAAGGGAAUAAAGUGGGAGUCGUGACUCUUUUUGCAUGUACCUUAUGAAUAAGGACCGGCUAAUUCCGUG
rnacentral:rRNA from 1 species